AUGACGUCCUGCGGAGGCGCCACCGCGGCAUGCCCGGACGGCCGCGUCAUCACCGCCCCCCUGCUCGCCAAGCCGGGGGAGGUCGUCGUCCAGGUCUGCGGUGACGAGGCGGCCGCGCCGGUGCUCACGUGCAAGCCGCCCGGCCGGCUUGCCAGGGCGGUGAAGGAAGCCUGGUCCGUUUCUUUGGGCAUCGCGCUCCCGAUGAUGCCGCCCGUGUCGGCCACCGCGGCCCGCGACGAGGCGCGCUCCAUUCUCGGCCUCGCAUUCCCGAUGAUCCUCACCGGGCUGCUGCUCUACCUCCGCUCCAUGAUUUCGAUGCUCUUCCUCGGCCGUCUCGGCGGCCUGGCGCUCGCCGGCGGCUCCCUCGCCAUCGGCUUCGCCAACAUCACCGGAUACUCUGUGCUCUCCGGCCUCGCCAUGGGCAUGGAGCCGAUAUGCGGCCAGGCAUUCGGCGCGGGUAACUACUCGCUCAUUGGUGUCACCGUGCAGCGGACGGUGCUCCUCCUCAUCGCGGCCGCCGUCCCUAUCGGUGGCCUGUGGAUGCACAUGCGGCCUCUGCUCCUCCUCUGCGGACAGGACGCCGGCAUCGCCGCCGUCGCCGAGACCUACAUUCUUGCCUCGCUGCCUGACCUCCUCCUCCAGGCAUUCCUCCAUCCCGUGAGGAUAUAUCUCCGGAUGCAGUCCAUAAACCUGCCACUCACCGUGUGCGCCACGCUCGCCAUUGCCAUCCACCUGCCCAUCAACUACGUGCUGGUGACCGUGCUCGGGCUCGGCGUCAAGGGAGUGGCAAUGGCGUCCGUGCUGGCCAAUCUGAACCUGCUCCUCUUGCUUCUCGCCUACAUCUUCUUCAAAGGCGUCCACAAGCGCACCGGCGGCUUCGCGCUCUCCGCCGAGAGCUUCCGUGGGUGGGGCGAGCUCAUCAGCCUGGCUCUGCCGAGCUGCGUGAGCGUGUGCCUCGAGUGGUGGUGGUACGAGAUCAUGAUCCUGCUGUGCGGCCUGCUCCUGAACCCGCAGGCCACGGUGGCGUCCAUGGGCAUCCUGAUCCAGACCACGUCGCUCAUAUACAUCUUCCCUUCGUCGCUCAGCUUCGGCGUGUCGACGCGCGUCAGCAACGAGCUGGGCGCCGGGCAGCCGGAGCAGGCGAGCCGCGCGGCGACGGCGGGGAUCAUGCUCGGCUUCGCGUUCGGCGCCUUCGCCUCGGCGUUCGCAUUCCUCGUCCGGAACGUGUGGGCGAGCAUGUUCACGGCCGACCCGGCGAUCAUCGCGCUGACCGCGUCGGUGCUGCCGAUCCUGGGCCUGUGCGAGCUGGGCAACUGCCCGCAGACGACGGGGUGCGGCGUGCUGCGCGGCAGCGCGCGGCCAAAGGACGCCGCCAACAUCAACCUCCGGUCCUUCUACCUGGUGGGGACGCCGGUGGCGCUGGUGCUGGCCUUCUGGUUCCACUACGACUUCGAGGGCCUGUGGCUGGGGCUGCUGGCGGCGCAGGCCACCUGCAUGGUGCGCAUGCUCCUGGUGAUCGGGCGCACGGACUGGGCGGCCGAGGCCAAGCGGUCGAAGCAGCUCACCGGCUCCGACGCCCAGGGCAAAGUUGGCGCGGCCGACGGAGACGAGAAGUCGCGGCUGCUUAUGGACGACGCGGACAUCGAGCGGCCGAACGAUCGGUGUUGA
rnacentral:rRNA from 1 species